GGUCGGUUCUCUUCUUACUUGUGAGUUUCUUAGCUGUGUGAUGGCGGGUCACUUCUCUUCUUAUUUCUGAGGUUUUUAGCUGUGUGAUGGGGGGUCACAUCUCUUCUUAUUUGUGAGGAUUUUAGCUGUGUGAUGGGGGGUCACAUCUCUUCUUAUUUGUGAGGUUCUUAGCUGUGUGAUGGGAGUCACUUCUGUACUUAUUUGAGAAGCUCUUAGCUGUGUGAUUGGGGGUCACUUCUCUACUUAUUUGUGAGGUUCUUAGCUGUGUGAUGGAGGUGUCACUUCUCUACCUAUUUGUGAGGUUCUUAGUUGUGUGAUGUGGGGUCACUUCUCUACUUAUUUGUGAGGUGCUUAGCUUUGUG
ensembl:lncRNA